UCUAGCCUACCUUGCAAAAGGAUCUGUCAUUUAUAGUCUUUUUUUUUUCUUCUUCUUCUUUUUUAUUAUUAUUGCUUUGUUUUUGGUUUUGGUUUUUUGCAUAUAAAGGUGAGACUCAUGCCUUGCACAAGUUUUCAUAUAAGGUUCUGUGAUUUGAUAUAGAUGUUGAAUCCAGGUAUUCUCAAACAACUGACAGGCUAGUUUUUCAAGAAAGGAGAAAUUGAUCCUGCCACCUACUUCACCCUGUGGAAUUUCUGCACAGUACUAACUCACAGUGGAUGUAAUUCAAAUGUACUGUUCUCCUUCUGAUCUAAGUUGAUAUUCCACUGCUGUUAAUGAAAGGAAGAUGCGCAGAGCUGUGGGUGAAAGAAGAUUGAAGACUGAAGAACAAUUCUCUUAUGCUGCUUAAGAGAGAUACCUCUAUUUUUAUGUAUCAUAUUGCCAUAAGUAGCCUCUAAUAUGUGAAAUUUA